GCUUUAGUAGUAUAGUAAUAGUACGCUAGAGUAUUAAGUUUAAUUUUAAAAAGCUAUAGCGUUUUUUAAUAUUAAGCUUGAUUUUUUGGAAGCGCGAGUUCGAUUUUCGACUAAGGCU